UCCUACUCUUGAUCGAUCCCCUAUUAUUUCAGAUAUAUAUAUCUGCAUCGUGUGCAUCAUACAUAUCGAUCGAUCUGUACGCAUAACCUUUUUUCUUUUUUAAUCAGCGAACUUUGUUGGUAAUAUGAAUAUCAACAGAUAAUGCCGGUUAGCCGGAGAGACGGUGUGGAUGAUCGAUAUAUAAUAACUAAGAGGUUUUUACCAUCUUAAAAAAAUAUUUCAACGUAACAUAUUUUUUGGUGUAAAAUU
rnacentral:lncRNA from 1 species